GCUGCCUUAGAUCGUGAAUGAAGACAAACUGAGGAAUAUGUUGAACCUAUUCCACCCAUCACAAUACCAUCAAAAGACACACCAAAGCACUUCUGAAUGAUGAAUCAGACUUAUUUACUGACCACCUACCAUGUGCAAAGCCCUCUGCUAGCUGUGAGUGGAUGAAAGGAUGAGUUACCUAAGGUUCCUGCUGUCAAAAGCUGCCUCUGAGAUCCCUGAUUCUGCCGGACAGAAGGAAUCUUCCAUUUUUCUGCUCUCCAUAGCAUGGACUAGCCCUAUUACAGAGAACAUUACAACAUUACAUUGAUUUUUGUAACAAAACGUGUUCAACAAGUUGAAUGAAAGAAAGCAAAAAAGAAAGAAAGGAAGGAAAGAAGAAAGAAAGGAAGACAGAAAGAAAAGAAGAAAGAAAGAAAGGAAGAAAGAGAGAGAAAGAAAGAAAGAGAAAGACAGAGAAAGAAAGAAAGAAAAAGAAAGGAGAAAAGGAUGGAAGGAGGGAAGAAAAGACACAGACAUUUCCCUUUGUCUCUUACUGUGGGGAUUACUCCAUUUGUAGAGAAGUGAGUUAUUGUAAACUUCAAGUGCGCACUUGGGGAUCUACGCUUCUGAGAUCUGAGCUCUUUCCAUAAAGAGCUAAAAGGGACGUGUGACAAGACCAGUGAACGGUGGAACUGAAUGACUUGAAAGAGAUAUCUUUCUGCUUUAAUUUUUUUCUCCACCCACUAACUCCACAUUUAAGAAAAAAAAUCUUUUUUUUUUGAGACUAUACCAGACUAGUUAAUAGAACAGGAUAAUUCUGGAUACAAGGCUCUGCAAAAUCAGAGCAUAUAAUGAGAGGCAUUUGAAUGGAUGUCAUUGUCUUUCACAAAGCGUGCUUUUGUCUCAUUGUUUGCACCUAAGACUUCUUGCAAAACAACGGGCUUUGAAAGUGCAAGAUAUGCUGCUUAACUCUUGAAGAGCUGACAGACAUCACACGUUUUCCAGGAGGAUUGUGACUGAAGCUUCAAUCAUAUUUCUUCCCCCCUAGUUUCUGUGCAGUAAGUGUGACAAUUAGAACUAUUAGCUGACUAUCCUAACCCAGUUCCAGUCGUGCCAGAAGGAACUAAAAAUGCCCUGUGGUCAAACUGUAGACGGUCCUGCUUCUAAGGAGCCUGGGCUGAGAGUAGCGAGGGACGAUAAUAUCACCCACAGAAACAAUAGGCAGACUCCCCCAAAAUCAUUUCAUGAAAUUUCCUUCAUCUGAAAAGGCUGAGACCUUUUACGAUACUACACUUUGGGUGAAACAAACAAAAAAAAAGGCCAUUUCUAAAUAUAGCCAGCUUUUGUAGACUAUAUUUAGUCAUGUUUCUACUUGGUAAAAAUAUCAGAAUGUAUUUUGGCAGAAAUUUUCACUGUGAUUUUUUUUUUUCUUUCACUUCCUCUUAUUUAAACCUCUG